UCCGCCCGCUGCAGUUGCGCGGUGGCAAGAUGGCGGCGGUGCUGCCGCGCAUCGAGCAGCUGUCGGCGCGAGUGGUGCGUGUGCUGGGCUGCAACCCGGGCCCCAUGACCCUGCAAGGCACCAACACCUACCUGGUGGGCACCGGGCCUAGAAGGAUCCUCAUUGACACAGGAGAGCCAGCAAUACCUGAAUAUAUUGGCUGUUUAAAGCAGGCGCUCAAUGAUUUCAACAUCUCAAUACAAGAGAUUUUAGUGACACACUGGCACGCUGAUCACACUGGCGGCAUCUCCGACAUAUGUAAAAACAUCGGUAAAGGUUCCAAAUUUUGCAUUAGUAAGCUUCCACGCACCCCACCUCGUGAAGAAAUAAUAGGAAGGGGAGAACAAAAGUAUUUAUAUUUGAAAGAUGGAGAUGAGGUAAAGACUGAAGGAGCCACUCUCAGAGUUUUAUAUACACCUGGACACACUGAUGAUCAUAUGGUUUUGCAUCUCAUAGAAGAAAAUGCUAUAUUCUCUGGUGACUGUAUUCUAGGAGAAGGGACGGCAAUAUUUGAAGACCUCUAUGAGUACAUGAAAUCAUUGGAAAGGCUGUUGCAAAUUAAAGCUGUCUUGAUAUAUCCUGGACAUGGCCCUGUAGUACAUGAUGUAGAUGCUAAAAUUCAAGAGUAUAUUUCUCACCGAAAUAUGCGCGAACAGCAAAUUUUAAAUAUGUUCCAGGAGAAUGCCAGAAAAUCAUUUACACCCAUGGAGCUUGUAAAGAUGGUGUACAAGGAUCUUCCUGAACCCUUAUAUAAAGCAGCAGAAAAUAACAUCACCUGCCACUUAAGGAAAUUAGAAAAAGAAGGGAAAGUGUAGGCCCUAAAAACAAAUUUUAUGAAUAUACUUAAAUUGUUUUUGCCAAGUUUGAGAACCUCGACAGAAAAGUACUGUAUGCAGUUUACUUAAAGUACCUUGUUUCCUACUGAGUGGACACUUUGAAAACACAGCAACACUGCAUUUCUUAACAUUCAAACAGUCUAACACCUUUGCAUAUUUUUUUUGAUUGAAAAGUCUCCCAUCUUAAUCCGGCUAAGCAAUUUAUAAAUGUUACAAGUAACAACUACAGAACCAUAUUGCUGAGCAACCACAUGCAGAAUUAUUACAUGGAGAAUGCAGAGACACUUUGCUGAUAUGUAAAAUCUGAACACCAGUUUUUGUCGGAAGUGCUUAGGAAAUUGUGGUGGUGUAAUUUUAAGUGAAUUUUAUACUAAUUACCAGUCACCAAUGAUUUUCAUAUAUUCUGCCUGAUGGAAAUUGAAGGUUUGCUCAAUAAUAAAGUGAAACUAGUGUGAAAAAA